rnacentral:tRNA from 1 species
GCCUUCGUAAUGUAGUGGUCAGCAUGCUCGACGCGUAACCGAGAGGUCAGUGGUUCGAUUCCCGGCGAAGGCG